rnacentral:tRNA from 1 species
GGGCGUAUAGCUCAGUUGGCUAGAGCGCUGCUGUCACAUAGCAGAGGUCACAGGUUCGAGUCCUGUUACGCCCA